AUUGAACGCUGGCGGCAGGCCUAACACAUGCAAGUCGAACGAGUGGCGGACGGGUUAGCAAUGUCUGGGAAACUGCCUGAUGGAGGGGGAUAACUCCUGGAAACGGUAGCUAAUACCGCAUACCAUCAUAUGUGCCUUGAUGGGUUUAGCUUGUUGGUGGGGUAACGGCUCACCAAGGCAACGAUCCCUUGCUGGUCUGAGAGGAUGACCAGCCACACUGGAACUGAGACACGGUCCAUACUCCUACGGGAGGCAGCAGUGGGGAAGAUGGGACAAUGGGCGCAAGCCUGAUGCAGCCAUGCCGCGUGUGUGAAGAAGGCCUUCGGGUUGUAAAGUACUGUCGGCGGGGAGGCGUUACCCGAAGAAGAAGCACCGGCUAACUCCGUGCCAGCAGCCGCGGUAAGAG
rnacentral:rRNA from 1 species